AAAUAAACUCACAUCUUAAUAAAAACGUUAAGCACGAGAUACAUACCACUUCUUUAGAGUAUAAAACUCCAAAUUUACACGCUUUCUGAGAAAGACACCUAAAGAGCCGUAAAAGGAAAGGAUGUGUGUAAUUUAAACAGAUACAUACUUGAACGGUGAAAGUUGAAAAUGAUUGGACACAAUGUUCCAUGAAAUUACAUUAAGCCUCGAUUAAAAAUCUUAAAAUAUUUCAAAAAGGUGUCGGCGCAAUUCCAACGAUGUUGCCCCAUGGCCUGCAGGCAUCCUCGUCCUGGUUAUCCGUAUCCGCGAAACACCUGAACGGGUACGUUUCAUCGGGAACGUGCUCCUGUUUCUGCAUUAUUCUACACAUUACUGUGCACGGGUCUCGCCGAUUAACAUACGUGUACACGUUGGCGAUGUGUUUGCGUGCAAGUUGGCGAGGCUGAUUCAACGUGAAAUUGGGUCGUUCGCUGGGCGUGAAAUAAGAAGAGCACGAGUUUUGACCGGGAAGGAAGGAGAUCGUGGAAAAAGAAGCCGAGAUUCGUGUCGACCAGAGAAGCAACGAUAGCUCGAGAUUUAUGCGGACUACUCGUGUAGCCUUCGAACGAUUGAUAUUUACCGACAAGCUUAACCCUUUGUACUUCACAUAUGGAUACCAUAGCGGCAGAAUUAAUUUUCGUUGAACUAACAUCGAUAAUUAGACUGCCGAUUCCUAGAUAAAAAUGUAAAAAUAAAGAUUAGAAUUGAUAAUUUAAAGAUACGAAAAUACAUAAAAUGCAUAUAAUAUACAAAUUAUAUAAUUAUAUAAUUGUACAUACGUAUAACAUAUCCAAAGUAGAGUAUUCGUCAUCAUGUGCCUUUGUAAUUCUUACAAAUAAUCGUUGUAAAUUCAUGUUUUAUACGAAGCCAGGAAGUAUCCUACUACUUAUGAACGGAAUUAUAUAAUCAGAAUCAUUCUUUAUUUUAGUGACUAAGGGAGUAGACUGUAUAGAACAAUAAAAGCGUUUUCGUGGUCGAGAACAGAGAUACGGCCACAAAUGGUUACAAUUGAAGUAAACGAGGAAUCGUCCGAGUCCCGAGGGAAUAAUGAAUGUUGUUAGGGAACUACUGAAAGCCGAUGCAGACGUUCGGUCAGAUAACCGUGAGGUCGUUGAUUAACGCGGUCUGAAGAUAAGGGAUAAUUAAGCGAGAGAUCGGGCGUCGACGAUGGGAUAUUUUCGGUCGUAGAUAGAGAUACGUCGAUGGACAUUAUUGUGGCCCGUGAAGAAAACUAGCUGGGCGGCUUGGAAUGACGGAUGGCCUGUUGAAGUAUCGUGCAGCGUUUUGGAGACUCAGAAUGGCGUUAUCGACGGCAGAAUGAAUAGGAUUAAUUGUGAGUCGUAAUUAUGCGAAAUGUUUGGUGUUUUGAGCGUGAGUUGGAACACUGAGGAGCGCUGUUAUUGUGUAGGAUUUUAGAAUGUGGAGCUUUAUCGAAAAUGUACCCUUUCAAGAGGUAGAGAUACCAAUACGAAGAAGAUGAUAAAACUUUAAUUUUCUUUGAGUCUCAGAACGGUAGAUAGGAGAUUGUUACCAAAGAAAACAGAAUGAUCCAAGAUAUAUCUUUUAUGGUUAAAAAUUAACUGAAAUAAAUAUUACAAAAAUACUUUAAAGAUAAGCAAGGGAUACAUUUUCUUAUGUAGUAUCGUAAGAAGUAACGAGAAACAUAGUUACAGAUAAUCCAAAGUAUUCUAAGUCUACGAUAUAGGCGAUAAAUGACUGCAGACAGGAAAAAAAACUUUAUCUAUAUCUUUUACAGUAAAUAAUCUAUAAGUAAGACGUUAUAACAUUUUUGAAACGGAAAGUAGCGCUAUAAGUGAAAACAACGGAAUUGAUUUUAAAUGAGCGAUAGAGGAGUGACAUUUCUAUCCGGUCGUAGCUAUCGAUAAUAGAGGGUUUGAAUAAUAAUUGCCAUCGAAUGGAUGCAGGGUGAAGAACAAUCUAUCGUAUAAUGAGCAAGGAAAGCGGGGCUUAAGUGUAUCAAUACAUAAUGAUUGGUGUCAAGUGAAAAGUGUUGCUGCAUCGUGAUCGUUUAUCACUAUAAUCGUAUAUUUUAAUGUACAGCUCAGUUACAAUAGAAUUGUACAGUGAAUAUAAUGGCCACGUAUGUCGAAGCGUAUCAUUUCAUAAUUCACGGUUUCUUUAAAUUAGCAGCCGAUAAGUAUUACAUAUAUCGAACAGUGUCGUGGGAUUUCAAUCAGAAGGCUAUAAUGUAAUAUUUUAAUCUUGCACUACUGAAACGUUGCUUCAAAAUGAUUUUUAGAAAGUUGAUAUGUGUAAUUGUCAUGAAAUUUAAAUUAACCAUGGCGCCGUAUAAUUUGAAAACUACAUAGUUAUUUACACGAUACAAAAAUUAUUUGAUAUUUUUAUUGUUAUAAAACUGUAUUGUUUUAUCAUUGUAGCAUUACUGUAUCAUCGAGUAAAUCAUUCAUAGUAGCAAUUAUUUUGCAGUUUCCUUAUUUAUUAGAAUGAAACAAUUGUUAUCGGUAUGUACAUAGAAAAAUUCGUACUAUGUGUCUCUAUUAUGGUAUACCAUAAUCACGUUUGAUAAACGCUGGAACGAUUAUAUCAAGUCAUUCACAGUUAAUUCGAGAAUCUAUCGAUUGAAAAUUACAGCAUAGGUUAAUGGCGAAAGAUUUUGCAACUCGAAGCAUUCAUUUGUGAGCCGUUGAUCGCAAUCUUUGUUUACGCCUCCACAAUCGUUCUACGAUUGCCUUUCACGAUACCAUUUCACAUAUACGAUAUAGUAAUGGGAUUUACGAUUCCUAUAUAUAACCUAUAUAUUGUCUGACCCACCUCUUCUCGAUCCUGGAUUAAAAGCGACGUGAAAACUUUUACUUGCUUUCUUC